CGGGGAGUGGCGCAGUCCGGUAGCGCACUCGGUUUGGGACCGAGGGGUCGCAGGUUCAAAUCCUGUCUCCCCGACCA
rnacentral:tRNA from 1 species